GCUUCGGCCCGUGGCAGAGCCGCGAACGGGUGAUUAACACGUGGGUAACCUACCCCGAUGACCGGGACAACCCGAGGAAACUCGGGCUAAUACCGGAUGUCCUGCACUCUCGUAAGGGAGUUCAGUAAAGAUAGCUUCGGCCUUCGCAUCGGGACGGGCCCGCGGCCCAUUAGCUUGUUGGUGGGGUAACGGCCUACCAAGGCGACGAUGGGUAGCUGGUCUGAGAGGACGAUCAGCCACACUGGGACUGAGACACGGCCCAGACUCCUACGGGAGGCAGCAGUGGGGAAUCUUGCGCAAUGCGCGAAAGCGUGACGCAGCAACGCCGCGUGGGGGAAGAAGGCCUUCGGGUUGUAAACCCCUUUCAGUUGGGACGAAGCUUCCAGGGUUAAUAGCCCUGUGGAGUGACGGUACCUUCAGAAGAAGCCCCGGCUAACUACGUGCCAGCAGCCGCGGUAAUACGUAGGGGGCUAGCGUUGUCCGGAAUCAUUGGGCGUAAAGCGCGUGUAGGCGGUCCGGUAAGUCCGCUGUGAAAGUCGGGGGCUCAACCCUCGGAUGCCGGUGGAUACUGUCGGGCUUGAGUACGGAAGAGGCGAGUGGAAUUCCUGGUGUAGCGGUGAAAUGCGCAGAUAUCAGGAGGAACACCAAUUGCGAAGGCAGCUCGCUGGGACGUUACUGACGCUGAGACGCGAAA
rnacentral:rRNA from 2 species